GACGAACGCUAGCGGCGUGCUUAACACAUGCAAGUCGAACGAAGUGGCGAACGGGUGAGUAAUACGUGGGUAACCUGCCCUCCUUUUUGGGAUAAGCCUUGGAAACGGGGUCUAAUACCGAAUAAAGGGGGAUGGGCGCGGGGCCUAUGAGCUUGGUGGUGGGGUGAUGGCCUACCAAUGGGGUGACGGGUAGCCGGCCUGCGAGGGUGACCGGGGACAUUGGGACUGGGCUAGGGCCCAGAGUCAGACGGGAGGAAGCAGUGUGGGAUAUUGGACAAUGGGCGAACGCAGGAUGCAGCGACGCCGCGUGGGGGGUGAAGGCUUUCGGGUUGUAAACAUCUUGCGCGAGCGAACGGGUAGGUGGAGAAGAAGCGCCGGCUAACUACGUGCCAGCAGCCGGGGUAAUAC
rnacentral:rRNA from 1 species